ACGGGGUGAACUAAGAGAAGUGUGGAGUUUAAAUAGAAAAUCUCUUUAUUUUUUGUGGUGAACCGAAAGAUAUGUUAAAAAUCAAUGCUUGCUGUCUUUGGUUUUUGCAAAAAAUACGAAGCAACCCAUUAUGCUAAUGAUUAAGGAGUGUGAUUUUGUAAGGUCAUCUCCAAGUGAGGGCUAUAUCCUCAAAUAUGGUUCAAAAUUCCCAAAACUUAUCUCUAAGAGUGGGCUACACAAAGGGUUACAAAAAAAAGAGAGGGCUACUCAUUAGGCCAAUUCAUAAAUAUUAAGCCACAUGUGGCCCUUUGGUCAGCUCAAGCUAAAUAA
rnacentral:lncRNA from 1 species